GAUGAAGAACGCAGCGAAGUGCGAUAAGUAGUGUGAAUUGCAGAAUUUCGUGAAUCAUCGAAUCUUUGAACGCAAAUUGCACUCUCCGGUUUUCCGGGAGAGUAUGCCUGUUUGAGGGUCAGCCUAAAUAAAUUCGGCUUCGUUGCUGUUGUUUUCGCGGUAACGUUUUUAGUCGGGAUUUGGGUCAUCUUAAACCGAAAGGUUUUUAAGCGACUUAAAAUUUUUUUACGAUCCCACGAACGUUUCUAAGUACUUCUUACACGUUCAAGGUAUCGAAAACCCCUAUUAGGCGUGGCCGUCGUAUCGGAUCGCGUCCAUAAUAUUUAUUCUUUAACUGACCUCAGACAGGUAAGAAUACCCGCUGAACUUAAGCAUAUCAAUAAGCGGAGGA
rnacentral:misc_RNA from 1 species